UGCAGUCGAGCGAACAGAUAAGGAGCUUGCUCCUUUGACGUUAGCGGCGGACGGGUGAGUAACACGUGGGUAACCUACCUAUAAGACUGGGAUAACUUCGGGAAACCGGAGCUAAUACCGGAUAACAUUUGGAACCGCAUGGUUCUAAAGUGAAAGAUGGUUUUGCUAUCACUUAUAGAUGGACCCGCGCCGUAUUAGCUAGUUGGUAAGGUAACGGCUUACCAAGGCGACGAUACGUAGCCGACCUGAGAGGGUGAUCGGCCACACUGGAACUGAGACACGGUCCAGACUCCUACGGGAGGCAGCAGUAGGGAAUCUUCCGCAAUGGGCGAAAGCCUGACGGAGCAACGCCGCGUGAGUGAUGAAGGGUUUCGGCUCGUAAAACUCUGUUAUUAGGGAAGAACAAACGUGUAAGUAACUGUGCACGUCUUGACGGUACCUAAUCAGAAAGCCACGGCUAACUACGUGCCAGCAGCCGCGGUAAUACGUAGGUGGCAAGCGUUAUCCGGAAUUAUUGGGCGUAAAGCGCGCGUAGGCGGUUUCUUAAGUCUGAUGUGAAAGCCCACGGCUCAACCGUGGAGGGUCAUUGGAAACUGGGAAACUUGAGUGCAGAAGAGGAAAGUGGAAUUCCAUGUGUAGCGGUGAAAUGCGCAGAGAUAUGGAGGAACACCAGUGGCGAAGGCGACUUUCUGGUCUGUAACUGACGCUGAUGUGCGAAAGCGUGGGGAUCAAACAGGAUUAGAUACCCUGGUAGUCCACGCCGUAAACGAUGAGUGCUAAGUGUUAGGGGGUUUCCGCCCCUUAGUGCUGCAGCUAACGCAUUAAGCACUCCGCCUGGGGAGUACGACCGCAAGGUUGAAACUCAAAGGAAUUGACGGGGACCCGCACAAGCGGUGGAGCAUGUGGUUUAAUUCGAAGCAACGCGAAGAACCUUACCAAAUCUUGACAUCCUUUGAAAACUCUAGAGAUAGAGCCUUCCCCUUCGGGGGACAAAGUGACAGGUGGUGCAUGGUUGUCGUCAGCUCGUGUCGUGAGAUGUUGGGGUUAAGUCCCGCAACGAGCGCAACCCUUAAGCUUAGUUGCCAUCAUUAAGUUGGGCACUCUAGGUUGACUGCCGGUGACAAACCGGAGGAAAGGUGGGGGAUGACGUCAAAUCAUCAUG
rnacentral:rRNA from 1 species